rnacentral:rRNA from 1 species
GCUUGACUGUAGUUUGGAAUAGGGUUCGGGCUUUUCUUGCGCAGCCUAGGUGGGAGGCAUUGAGGAUUUCUUUUCGGGGAAAUCGGAGCCAUCAUUGAGAGACCACUCUGGAAGAGCUAGAAUCCUAAUGGCGUUCCUUGAAUCAGGACGCUUGACAGUUUCAGAUGGGCAGUUUUCUUGGGGCGAGAUUCUAGAUCAGACGGGAUGCUUGAAGAAAUAUUACAAUCGGGAAUCAGUCGGUUAAAAAUUAGCUAAAAUGCUAAUCGACUAUUAAAUAGAAUUGUAAUAAAUUCAAGUAGAAUUUGACUAUAUGCUGGAAUGUUUCUAUGUUAAUUUUUGUGGGGAAUAAAGCUCGCCUUUUUCCGUUACCGACCACAACUGUUAAACAUAAGAGAUUUUUAAAUCUCUGAAACUAAUCAGCAGGGAAACAACAAGAGUUGUGACCUUCAAAGACUUUACGUCAAACUUUUAAGUUAUGUCUAAUUUUAAAAGAUGAUAAAGUCUAACCUACUAAUUUUAUUAAGUAGGUUGCCUAAAAGGUAACGGAGAAGCGCAAUGGUCCCCUCAACCUGGACGGAAAUCAGGCUUUGAGUGCAAAGGCAUAAGGGGGCUUGACUGCAAGACCUACAAGUCGAGCAGG